CGUAGGAGGCAAGCGUUAUCCGGAUUCACUGGGCGUAAAGCGCGUGCAGGCGGUGCGGUAAGUUGGGUGUGAAAUCUCCCGGCUCAACUGGGAGAGGUCAUUCAAUACUACCGUACUCGAGAGCAGAAGAGGAAGAUGGAAUUCCCGGUGUAGUGGUGAAAUGCGUAGAUAUCGGGAGGAACACCAGUGGCGAAGGCGAUCUUCUGGUCUGUUACUGACGCUCAGACGCGACAGCUAGGGUAGUAAACGGGAUUAGAGACCCCGGUAAUCCUAGCCGUAAACGAUGUGAACUUGGCGUUGGUGGGUUAAACUCCAUCAGUGCCGUAGCAAACGCGAUAAGUUCACCGCCUGGGGACUACGGCCGCAAGGUUA
rnacentral:rRNA from 1 species